rnacentral:SRP_RNA from 1 species
GCUGGGUGUGGUGGCGGGCACCUGUAGUCCCAGCUACUUGGGAGGCUGAGGCAGGAGAAUCGCUUGAACCUGGGAGGCGGAGCUUGUGGUGAGCCAAGAUCACACCACUGCACUCCAGCCUAGGUGACAGAGUGAGACUCUGUCUCAC